CGGUGCGUAGCUCAAAGGCAGAGCGACGGCCUCAUAAGCCGAAGGUGCUGGUUCGAGUCCAGUCGCACCCA
rnacentral:tRNA from 1 species